rnacentral:rRNA from 1 species
CAAUAGCGUAUAUUUAAGUUGUUGCAGUUAAAAAGCUCGUAGUUGGAUUUUGGGUCGAGGCAGCCGGUCCGUCGUUUCGAUGUGUACUGGUUUCUUCUUCCUUUCUGCCGGGGACGGCAUUUACUCUUCAUUGAGUGGUGUCGGAGUCGGCGUUGUUACUUUGAAAAAAUUAGAGUGUUCAAAGCAAGCCAUCGCUCUGAAUACAUUAGCAUGGAAUAACAUGAUAGGACUCUGGUCUUAUUUUGUUGGUUUCCGAGACUGGAGUAAUGAUUAAUAGGGACAGUCGGGGGCAUCCGUAUUUCAUUGUCAGAGGUGAAAUUCUUGGAUUUAUGAAAGACGAACUUCUGCGAAAGCAUUUGCCAAGGAUGUUUUCAUUAA